GCCAAUCCAAGCCAAGGGGAAGAAAGACAGACAGAUCUGUUGAAUACCUCUAGUGUUGUGAUGGGUCGGGUCUACUUGCCAAUCCAAGCCAAGGGGAAGAAAGACAGACAGAUCUGUUGAAUACCUCUAGUGUUGUGAUGGGUCGGGUCUGCUUGCCAAUCCAAGCCAAGGGAAAGAACCAAUCUGGAAUUAAGUGUUAUUUUCUUUCAAAUCUCUUUCUUCUUCACUUAAAGAAAGAUAAAGGUUUGGAUCUUUUGCACAACAAUGAACGCAUGUGCCCCUCCCAGCCCCCCCAGCCCCCACCACCACCGAACGACCUGUAAAAAGAGUUUCUUAUUUUACUUAGUAUUUUUCCAAUGGGAAUAAUAUUUUAAAAAAAAUAAACUAAGGUAACAUAUGUGUAGAAUAUAUUGAAUAUAAAUAUUCUCUAGAACAUGAUGAUGCCUCUAGAUCCUGUUGAUGCCAGUAUAUUGAUGUGUUUAGUGUCUCUGUGUGCACCAUCAUUAACUAGCUAGCUUCCUAGACAGAAGUUCAAACUGUCACCUUGCUGAUGACGCUACAGUACGUCCCAAAGGACACCCUAUUUCAGAUCUAGUGUGAUACUUUUGACCAAGGCCUAUAGGACCUGCGGAAGACUAGUGCGGGAGGUGUACUUGUACAUCAAGCUGCCUUAAGCUAAAGAAACAGGAGAUGGGCUCCUGCCUUAUGGGCUUUUCUGGCUCAGACAAGGCUACUUACUUAUGUAGGGUCCUGGUCCAAAGUGUUGCACUAUAUAGGGAAAGGGCCCUGGUCCAAAGUAGUGCACUAUAUAGGGAAAGGGUCCUGGUCCAAAGUAGUGUAGUGGGAAAGGGCCCUGGUCCAAAGUAGUGCACUAUAUAGGAAAGGGUCCUGGUCCAAAGUAGUGCACUAUAUAGGGAAAGGGCCCUGGUCCAAAGUAGUGCACUAUAUAGGGAAAGGGGCCCUGGUCCAAAGUAGUGCACUAUAUAGGGAAUAGGGCCCUGGUCCAAAGUAGUGCACUAUAUAGGGAAUAGGGUCCUGGUCCAAAGUAGUGCACUAUAUAGGGAAUAGGGUCCUGGUCCAAAGUAGUGCACUAUAUAGGGAAUAGGGCCCUGGUCCAAAGUAGUGCACUAUAUAGGGAAUAGGGUCCUGGUCCAAAGUAGUGCACUAUAUAGGGAAUAGGGCCCUGGUCCAAAGUAGUGCACUAUAUAGGGAAUAGGGCCCUGGUCCAAAGUAGUGCACUAUAUAGUGUGCCAUUUAGGGCAUAGUCAACUUGUUGUCCUUUAAGCAGCAAAACAGAACCAUCCUCCUAAUCAUUUUGACAUACAGAACUAUUUGACUUUUUUUUUUUUUAAAUGUAUUUUAUUUUCUGUAAUUUUUUUUCAACUGUUCAUAGUUUAAUAUAAUCCUUUUUUUCUUUCUCUCUCUGUGUGUUUUAUUUUGCUUUGUAACAGCACUAGGUCUUAAAGGUUCUGUCCCAAAUGGCACCUUAUUCCCUAUAUGUUGUACUUCUUUUGACCAGGGCCCAUAAGGCUCUGGGCCAAGAGGUAGUUCACUACGAAAGGAAAUAGGAGGCUAUUUGGGAUGUAGCCAAAUAUUAUAGUUUAUAUUGCUCAGUGAUCAGGGUUUCAGGCUGUACAGUGAUAAUAUUGAAAAGCAUUUUCUAAAUGAUUGUAAAUAGCACUAAUCUAAUGCUUAUCCCCUAUACCCCUCUUCCAAACUUCAAAUGGAAUAAAUCCAUCUGUCAACUAAAUAAAGAUUAUUGAAGUGCUGCCAUUGAUUUAUGACUUGAUCCAUCUAUUAACUAAAUAUAGAUUAUUGAAGUGCAGCCAUUGACUUAUGUGAUCAUUACUCUCAUUAAACAAUCAUUAUGUUGCGCCUUGUUACUUGUCCCUGUCUUCUUGUAGGAGCCAUUACACACACACACACACACACACACACACACACACACACACACACACACACACACACACACACACACACACACACACAGACUGCCCUUUGUCCUCUGUAGUGCCACUCGGGGGGCAAACAGACAGACAGACAAAGGCGUAAUCUCUUACAGUAACAGGACCUCCACUCAACACACCAGUGUGUUUC
ensembl:lncRNA